AAAUGUCCACAUGCAGCCAGGGUGCUGACUGAGGUGACCAGUUUGCUUGAGUUUUCAUACUCUGCACUCUCCAGUGGAACAGCAGCUGCAGGACUCUUAUUUUUGUGAUGUGGAGCAUGUCUGGGUGUGUGGCAGGGGGAACUGAAAUAGUCUCUGCUGACUUUUUGUACCUACAGAUUUUGUUUCAUUGCUCAUUUUGGAAAAGGGAAGCCCUUAUAGGGGCCAAAUUAAUGGUUUUUCUGUAAAUGAUUUUUUUUCCCCCUCAAACUCCAUUGGCUUGACUUCCAGUGGUAUAGAAAGGCAAUAUGGUGAACUUCUCAGCCCGAAAAAGGAGAUCUCCAAUCAGGGCCGAGAGGCUCAUGCUAAGGUGGAAAGAUUUUCCUCCGUGAUGGACUCUUGGAUACCUACGGGAGACUUAAAAGGCCCUCAGACCACAGGAUUAAUGCCACAGCUCCGGAGCAAGCCCCAGCCCCGGCCCGGCCAUACCAGGGCGUCCGUGUGAAGGAGCCAGUGAAGGAACUGCUGAGGAGGAAGCGAGGCCACGCCA
rnacentral:lncRNA from 1 species